rnacentral:rRNA from 1 species
CCUACGGGAGGCAGCAGUGGGGAAUAUUGCACAAUGGGGGGAACCCUGAUGCAGCGACGCCGCGUGGGUGAGGAAGUACUUCGGUAUGUAAAGCCCUAUCAGCAGGGAAGAAAAUGACGGUACCUGACUAAGAAGCCCCGGCUAACUACGUGCCAGCAGCCGCGGUAAUACGUAGGGGGCAAGCGUUAUCCGGAUUUACUGGGGGUAAAGGGAGCGUAGGCGGCGUGCCAAGUCUGGGGUGAAAGGCCGGGGCUCAACCCGGGGACUGCUUUGAAAACUGGCAGGCUGGAGUGCCGGGGGGGCAGGCGGAAUUGAUGGUGUAGCGGUGAAAUGCUUAGAUAUUAGGCAGAACACCGAUGGCGAAGGCGGCUUACUGGACGAUAACUGACGUGGAGGCACGAAAGCGUGGGGAGCAAACAGGAUUAGAUACCCUGGUAGUC